UUUUGCAAGUUUCCGCUUCGUACCCCUUCGCCCCCAUUUCGGAAACCGGUUCGAUCUCGAUUCCUCCUCUCUCGCUUCAUCGGAGAGCGAAGCGUCCCGAAGGAUCGGAAUUCGUGCUCUUCGCCAUGGAGCUAGAUCAAUGGAUCUCCAAGGUGAAGGAAGGGCAGCAUCUUGAGGAACACGAGCUUCAACUCCUCUGCGAAUAUGUCAAAGAGAUACUUAUAGAGGAGUCAAAUGUACAACCUGUUAAUAGCCCUGUCACUGUUUGUGGUGACAUUCACGGUCAGUUUCAUGAUCUAAUGAAGCUAUUUCAAACUGGAGGUCAUGUUCCUGAGACAAAUUAUAUUUUUAUGGGUGAUUUUGUUGAUCGUGGUUAUAACAGUCUUGAAGUUUUCACAAUCCUUUUGCUGCUAAAAGCCAGAUACCCUGCAAAUAUCACCCUUUUGCGAGGCAAUCAUGAGAGCAGGCAGUUAACCCAGGUUUAUGGAUUUUAUGAUGAAUGCCAGAGGAAGUAUGGGAAUGCAAAUGCAUGGCGCUAUUGCACAGAUGUAUUUGACUACCUUACUCUAUCAGCAAUUAUAGAUGGAACUGUACUUUGUGUCCAUGGUGGCCUUUCUCCAGAUGUAAGAACAAUUGACCAGAUAAGGGUUAUUGAUCGCAACUGUGAAAUUCCCCAUGAAGGUCCUUUUUGCGAUCUCAUGUGGAGUGACCCAGAAGAAAUUGAUACAUGGGCCGUUAGCCCUCGAGGUGCAGGUUGGCUAUUUGGAUCAAGGGUUACAACAGAAUUCAAUCAGAUAAACAAACUUGAUCUAGUUUGUCGGGCUCAUCAGUUGGUCCAAGAAGGCCUCAAGUAUAUGUUUGAUAAGGGACUCGUAACGGCAAGUUUGGUCAGCGCCUAAUUAUUGUUACAGGUGUGGGAAUGUAGCUUCAAUAUUGAGCUUCAACGAAAACAUGGAAAGGGAGGUGAAAUUCUUCACAGAAACAGAGGAGAAUAAUCAAAUGCGGGGGCCGCGGUCUGGUGUUCCCUAUUUUCUUUGAACGAAUUGAUAUUGGUUGCUCAAGUACGUUUUCAUACAUCAUAGAGCAGACCAGUAAGAUGAUAGAUGCACUGAGAUUGAUGUGUUGACCGUUGGAGAAUGGGUCAAUGCUGAUGAGAUCCCAAACCAUUGCAGCUUUGCCUCGCACAUAUGUUAUGCUACAUAGUAGAGAUUGUCGAUGUCGUCUGUCUUAAUUGACUAUGCUGUUUUGCUACAAUUAAAGGUCAUGAUUUCAAUUGUUAUUUUGAGUUAGGAGGUCAGGGUGAACUUAUUUGUUGCAGGAACUUCAUAGGUUCUAUUUAAAUUCUCUGCAAAAAGUUGUUUCCAAAUGCAUGGACCAACUUGCAUCAAGUGAUUUGCUUAGCACUUUGAAAAUGUAUCUCUUUGUUUCA